rnacentral:rRNA from 1 species
AACGAACGCUGGCGGCAUGCCUAACACAUGCAAGUCGAACGAGAUCUUCGGGUCUAGUGGCGCACGGGUGCGUAACGCGUGGGAAUCUGCCCUUUGGUUCGGAAUAACAGUUGGAAACGACUGCUAAUACCGGAUGAUGACGAAAGUCCAAAGAUUUAUCGACAGAGGAUGAGCCCGCGUAGGAUUAGCUCGUUGGUGUGGUAAAGGUGCACCAAGGCGACGCUCCUUAGCUGGUCUGAGAGGAUGAUCAGCCACACUGGGACUGAGACACGGCCCAGACUCCUACGGGAGGCAGCAGUGGGGAAUAUUGGACAAUGGGCGAAAGCCUGAUCCAGCAAUGCCGCGUGAGUGAUGAAGGCCUUAGGGUUGUAAAGCUCUUUUACCCGGGAUGAUAAUGACAGUACCGGGAGAAUAAGCUCCGGCUAACUCCGUGCCAGCCGCCGCGGUAA